UCGGUCCUGGGGUUCCCCUCCCCUCCUCCCCUGGCACCCCUCCCUUUGACAGUUUCAAUUUGUUGUCUCCUCCCCUGUUUCCCUGGUUACCCUCUGUCAAUCCCUCCCCGAGUUCCUGUCCAUCACCCACUGUCUCCUUCCCUCUUUCCAGAAAGUUCUCCCCUCUUCGAAGUGCUCCCGACAGAGUGAACUUGACUCCCAGCCUGGCCACACCAGGAAAUUGUGGCUGAGAAGGUUCUGUGUAAAACUGCCACAGAGAGGGAGGAAGGAAAACAAGGAGGCACAGAAUGUAGAGCAGCCUUUGCUCUACAGGGCAGAGAGCUCCUCCGAGUGUUGCCCCUGUUCCCAGGCUGUUCAUGGAGCAUCCCAGUGCUGUUCCCUGUUCAGCAAGUGUGAAUUGCUGUGGAUUCAACGCAUCAGGGAUGCCUAUGAAUCCCAGAGAUAAGCAUCCUGGGAGGAGGCAUAGUGUGAAGAACUAAGGUAGAAGACUUUCAGGAGGUUAAUGGGAUGCCACAAUUCUUCACCUUCCAUUUAGCUGAGACUCUCCUUGGAUGCUGCUUCGUUGGCUGCUUUUAUUUCUUUGGAUGCUUUUUCCUUGACUGUUAUUUUGUUUCAGUCACUGCUCAGAGAAGGGCAGAGGGAGCUGCAGGCAAGCACAAGCUCAGGGACACCCAGAGAAGGCAUCAGUAUCUCAGGGUUUUCCUUAUCCCUUGUCGCAAUGUUUUCCCCUGCAGUCAAUAAAAACCAAGUUUGUUCUCGUU